GGCUGAAGCACUUUUUGUGGCAAUUAGUUCUUAUGCUUUUGGAGCUUUAUCGGCAGCAGGUGGAUUGCUUUAUGCAAUCAAAGCUUACAAGAAUUAUAGGGCCAUGCGUGAGGAGGUUAAAAUAUGUGCUGCCUGUGGGAAGGAAGUGAAGAUUAUGCUGUCCGAAGAGCAUAUUGAAGAACAUAGAGUUGACCAAGCACGGGGAAAUGAAGGCGACCCAACACUAUGUGGAGUUGACGAUAAACUGCUGCUGUGGUAGGGCUAGAAUAAUAUGGUGCAUCGUGGCGAGAGAAAAACAAGACGAGGCCAGUCCUAGAAGAAGAAGAAAAAAAUGCAAUAAAUGAAGUCAUGGUGAUUCGAACUGUUGUCCGUGUUCUUUUUUGCAGAUAUCGAUAUCUUAGCAUGCUUCUGAAACAGAUGAUGUUUGCCACUUGUGAAAUAGCUAGAUAGCUUUGAGAGAUGGUAGUUCAUGUGGAGAUUUAAUUUACUUGGUUAUGGUACACUUGGUGAUGUUCCUUUUUACUCCC